rnacentral:rRNA from 1 species
AGUGAACGCUGGCGGUAGGCCUAACACAUGCAAGUCGAACGGCAGCACAGUAAGAGCUUGCUCUUACGGGUGGCGAGUGGCGGACGGGUGAGGAAUACAUCGGAAUCUACUUUUUCGUGGGGGAUAACGUAGAGAAACUGACGCUAAUACCGCAUACGACCUACGGGUGAAAGCAGGGGAGCUUCGGACCUUGCGCGAUUGAAUUAGCCGAUGCCGGAUUAGCUAGUUGGGGAGGUAAAGGCCCACCAAGGCAACGAUCCGUAGCUGGUCUGAGAGGAUGAUCAGCCACACUGGAACUGAGACACGGUCCAGACUCCUACGGGAGGCAGCAGUAGGGAAUAUUGGACAAUGGGCGAAAGCCUGACCCAGCCAUACCGCGUGGGUGAAGAAGGCCUUCGGGUCGUAAAGCUCUUUUGUUGGGAAAGAAAAGCAGUAGGUUAAUACCCCGCCGUCCUGACGGUACCCAAAGAAUAAGCCACGGCUAACUUCGUG